rnacentral:rRNA from 1 species
ACUGCUCAGUAACACGUGGAUAACAUGCCCUAAGGUGGGGGAUAAUCUCGGGAAACUGAGGAUAAUACCCCAUAGAUCUUUGAUGCUGGAAUGCUCCAAGGUCGAAAACUCCGGUGCCUUAGGAUUGGUCUGCGGUCUAUCAGGCAGUAGUGGGUGUAAUGGACCCACUAGCCCGUGACGGAUAUGGGCCUUGAGAGAGGGUGCCCAGAGAUGGACUCUGAGACAUGAGUCCAGGCCCUACGGGGCGCAGCAGUCGCGAAAACUUCACAAUGGGGGAAACCCCGAUGAGGGAAUUCCAAGUGCUAGCACUUUGUGUUAGCUGUUCUUCUGUCUAAAAAACAGGAGAAGUAAGGGGCGGGUAAGACGGGUGCCAGCCGCCGCGGUAAUACCCGCGCCCCGAGUGGUGGUCGAUAUUAUUGAGCCUAAAACGUCCGUAGCCGGUCUUCUAAAUCCUUGGGUAAAUCGGGCAGCUUAACUGUCCGAAUUCCGGGGAGACUGGGAGACUUGGGACCGGAAGAGGUCAGAGGUACUUCUGGGGUAGGGGUAAAAUCCUGUAAUCCUGGAAGGACCACCGGUGGCGAAGGCGUCUGACUAGAACGGAUCCGACGGUGAGGGACGAAGCCCUGGGGCGCAAACGGGAUUAGAUACCCCGGUAGUCCAGGGUGUAAACGCUGCGGGCUUGGUGUUGGGGGUCCUUAGUGGGCGCCCAGUGCCGGAGAGAAGUUGUUAAGCCUGCUGCUUGGGGAGUAUGUCCGCAAGGAUGAAACUUAAAGGAAUUGGCGGGGGAGCA